UGCCUACAUCCACUUCCCAAGAAUUCAUUAAAAAUUUUCAUUAUAAUUUGUCCAAAAUUAUAGCCGGAUAGUUUUUCUGAGUUUACUAUCCAAAAUUCAGUUGGUUUUGCAUGGGUUUAUCAACUAAAAUCUAACUCAAGCCAAUCUUUAGCCUACAAUCAAUUACAAGGCUUGGAUGAGCCUAUCUCUUUAGUUUCAAUCCCGAAUUGAAGCUAGUUACAAUGAAAGAUAAGAGAAAACAAUGAUAAAACAACUAAAGCUCCUUUAAUGAGCAAGAACAAGUCGAUGAGGCUCAUGGAAUCUCUUUUUGAUGAAGCUUUUUAGAGUUGGAGCUUAUCUUCUUAUCGAAAAGACUCUUUUGAUUUAAUGUUUUAGAUAGUUGAAGAAUAAAAGCACUCUAUUCAAUACUCUUGGUCUUUUCUUGUUAUUUCUCACUUUUUUGUUGAUUCUCCCUUUUUUGUUACUUCAAUUAGUUCUUGGAAGUAUUAAAUUACUAUUUAGAAGGCCAAAAUAUUAUUUUUGACCAUUGAAAUUUGAAAUAAAACUAUGAGAACCCAUUUUGUGUAGUUCUAAAAAUCUACAAAACUAACUGUUGGAGCCUCGAGUUGACUCAGAUUGGAUUCGAAUCAACUCAAAUAACCUUCAAGUUGAUCUUUCUGAAAAUAUACCUUUCUAUCUUUUUCUACAACUUCUAUUUGAGUAACUCGAGUCAACUCGAGAUGCCGCUUGGAACCUUAAAAUUUAUGUUCUGAAAAUUUAUUUUUCUACUAUUUCUUGUUUGAGUCGACUCGAGUGCCAUUUAAGUCGACUCGAGUGCAUGCCGAUUAAAAUUUUGACAUGCCAGAAUCUUCUUUUCUUUUAUUUUUUAGCUUGAGUCAACUCAGAUUCAACUUGAGUCGACUCAAAUUUCCUUCAACUAAAUUUUUUUUUGAACUUCUUCAAUUUGAAAAGUGUUUUGGUUCCAACCCUUUUGAUGACCCUUUCUACUUUAAUUUCAAAGAUCUUUCACUCUAUAAAAGCUUUCAAAAUCCUUUCAUUUGAGUUUGUUUGAGUAAUAAAGAUCAUUCUUUUGAUACCUAACAAUUUUUUCUGAAAUAUCAUCUUAAUAAAACUAUUAGUUCAAUCAUAUACUUAAAUUGCUUGCCCUACUGAAGUACUAAAGGUGCGCAUGGACGAUCCAUUAAUCUAAUUGGAAGAAGAUUAUAAAUGGAUAGAUAUUUUUGGGAUACACUCCUCUACCAUAUCUAUACAAAUAGAAUAGUCUAUUUAUAUACUCAAACAUUUUGGUAUUUAUCAAAAUCAAUCUUUGGCAUCAACAUCAUCCUUAUCCUCGCAGCUUUAGAUCUAGUAAGAGUCCCUCUAUUGAAUUUGUUGACAGUUCUUCUAAGUCCUAUAGCACUGGUUUCCUCUAGAGCAUCUUCAUAUCAUCAUAUUUUUGGAAUGAUGUUUGUAUGCCUGAUUCUCCAUUAUGUUAGAUGUAUAUCCUAGAAGUCAAUAUGGCUGACACAUUGUAAUAAUUAUAGGACAUAAUUUUAUACUUAAUAUAUUGAUAUGAUCAAUAAAAGAACAACUUUAUUUUUCAUUCAAGUGUAAUGUGUCUUUGAAUCAUCUAUGAAAUUAGUUUCGAUACAUAUUCUUAAGGUAUUGAGAAUUAGAGACAUGUAUUUAAUUUCUAAAUACUCCCGAUCAUAGGAUUAUUACGAGGACGGUGAUAGAUCCGGAUAGAUUGGCAUAAAAUCACUUCCUUCAGAAUAGAUGAAUCUCUGAUCUACUGUAUAGAGACACAAGAUGACGAGUGCGGGUGAUUGUUAGAGAAUAACUAGUACUGAGCAUAACCAUAUAAGAGAUCACUUAGAUUUCUAUUCAAUCGACAGUGAUUGUCUCGAUGCUGUAGUUGUGUGACUAGUCCUUUGACUUAAAAUGGUACUGCUACUCAUAGUGAGGCUGCUAAAGUUUGACUAACACAUAAACAUGGAUCUUAAUGAGCCCUUGUAGUGGAUGUUGGCGACAAUUGAUCCAUUGUAGGAGUGGCGUGCGUAUCAAGAUAGAAUCUAUCGAUCUUGAUAGAAAAAAGUAGUCCCAUGAGAUUUGAAAGGCUAAGUCUAAGAAUCUAUGGUCAUAGUAGUGUGAUUGAUAGAAAAGAAUUUCCAUAAAAGUCACAACUGGACUUGAGCUAAUUGAAUCUAUCAUAUGACUAAUGUUGAGGUUUGAUGACUUAUCUAUGACCUACCAUCUAGUCGGAACUCAUGAUAGAGGAACUGAAUCACACGUUAACUAUACUUAGGGUUCAUUUUAGUUCUACUGGAUUGCCACUACAUACUGCUAGGUGUCACUGGUGGAUUGUGAGAGCUCACUAGGAUCAUUCUUGAUCGACAAUCUUUACUGAGUUAGAGUGAAAUUGUUCCAACCUAUUAAAAAGAGUUUCAAUAAUACAAUGAUAAAGAUCAUUGUAUAUCUCACUACCAGAUAGAAUUGAACCUUUGGGGUCACACAACAAAGGGAUUAGGCCUAGAAUAAGUAAUUGAACUUAUGAAGUAUCAAUUGGGUUUAGAGAAAUCUAUUAGAUUUAUGAUAACCUUGCUAGCACAUGGUUGGACUCAAUUCUUCUUUCAGGUGGGAUUAUUUAUUUGAUAAGAUAAUUCUAACUUAAUUACCUGCUAAUAACCUACAUGAAUAAGAUUUAUGAGACUCC
rnacentral:lncRNA from 1 species